AGGCGGCCGUGGCAGAGGAGACCCCGGACUGGGCGCCCGAGCUCUGCCCCAGCCCCGAGUCGCGGUCGCCGGAGCCGCCUGCCAACCGCCUUCAAGACUUCGACACGCUGGUCACCGUGGGAAAGCAACUAGAAGCCAUUUGUGUCAAGGUAACGUCUGGAGAAACAAAAGGUCAGGAACGGCCAACGUCCCUACUGGCCACAGUCCAGCCCCAAUCUGCAAGACAGAGCCAGCCGCCCCGGGGGAAUUCCCGCCUGGUGGGACUCCACGUCACCAGCCCCCAGCUGCUCAGGGUACAGCCCCUCGUGAGAACCGAGCCACAGUCAUGUUUCCUACAUCAGCCUCCUGCUCAGGGGUUUGUACAGAGACCACUGCCAGCCCUCUAGGUGGUCCCUGCAAAGAGAGUCCCAGCUCCCAAGGCUCCAAAUGGACAGGGCACCAUGUUGACCCCUUCGUUGGCCUCCAGUUCGCCGACUGUAACAUGUUUCAUCCAGUUCAGGACGUUUAUUUAUUUCCAACUUGCAUACAAAACAUACUGAGAAACUAAAACCAUCGUUAAAAGUGAAGACACGUUGAGACAGGUAUCUCGACCUGCCAAGUAUACAGCUAAAGCUGAGUUCAUAAAAAGGGAUGAUUUGGCCGACGGUCAUCUGCCAGAUUCUGAUGAUGAUUCAGAACUCAGUGUGGAAGAACAUCAGAGGGAGAGGCAGGCGCUCUUUGACUUAUCAAGCUGCUCCCUGAGGCCCAAAAGCUUCAAGUGUCAGACUUGUAAAAAGUCAUAUAUAGGGAAGUGGGGACUGGCCCAGCAUUUUAAACUUAAUCCAGGCCAUGGCCAGCUGGACCCUGAGAUGGUGCUAUCUGAGAAAGCCAAUGGGAGCACCCUCCGUGGGUGCACAGAGGAAAGGACGCUCAGCCUGACCUUCCCGGGGCUGUCCGUGCCAGCGGCUCCGCGUGAGGGAGGGGCCCGCUCCUGCUUGGUGAGAGAGUCAGCACGCGGUGGCCUGGGUAAUGUUUGCAUCUGGGUGUCGUUUUCGGCCAUUCUCACACUGUUAUAAAGAAAUACUUGAGACCAGGUAUUUUAUAAAGAAAAGAGGUUUAGUUGGCUCACAGUUCCACAGGCUGUACGGGAAGCAUGGUGCUGGCAUCUGCUCAGCUUCUGGGGAUGCUUCAGAAUCAGUCACGGUGAAGGCAGAGUGGGAGCAGGCAUGUCACGUGGC
rnacentral:lncRNA from 1 species